rnacentral:tmRNA from 1 species
GGGGAUGAUCGGACUCGAUAGAUUGAUCUUUGAACAAAACGGCAAGCCGAGCUGCUACCAUGCUCGUUAAACUGAUAGCCACUUUAAUAAGUGCAAACACAAUUUUAAGCAGGGUUAAAGCAGCUUUUGCUUUCAACUUUGCUCCCGUUGCUGUUUAAUACCAGCAACCAUCUGGACCUUUGACGCCUAAUAAGAGGCUCCGGGUGUCAUCAACAUUGGGCUAUGCUAAGCAAAACCCGCCUUAGUUAACUUAGCUAAAAAUUCAAGGCAAGAUAUAAGAAUUUGGUUAGGAUUACUAUCUUAUAUUUUCAAUCCAAUCCUAAAUAAGCUUGUAGAUGUUUUGCCAAUGACUUUCUAGACGCGGGUUCAAUUCCCGCCAUCUCCACCC